GGGGGAUAAGGUAGGCGCUAUCACGACUUAAGAAAUCGGGUCGUGACAGAUUAUGGAUCCCCAGAGAGAUGACAAAAUUAUAUCAACUCAUUUUGAUGAAUUCAACCUCGACUCCACUAACGGUCGAGAUGUCUUAAAUAACCUAACUAUUGAGCAGGUAAUUGAACUUCUAAUACUAAUGAUUUGUCAUAUUGAUUAAAAAAAA
rnacentral:lncRNA from 1 species